AACUUGCUCGGCUGCUUCCUGGCCUGUCAGCUGGAACAAGAACUGGAGAUCCUGAUGUCUUUUCCGCAGCGUGGGAAGGGAGGGAAUGAAAAGCAAACUGGAUUGUUUCACACAUUCCUGAGCUGCGCUGACUGCCACAGUAUCCCAGCACCAUUCCAGCAAUGUGUUAGGUGACGUGAGUAAUGUCUGUCACUUGCUGUCUGUUCUUUCAUCCUCUUCCCAGGGGCGAGUGGUGUAUUAGUCGUCUUGCUUCAGUAUGUUUCUGUUACGUGUGUAUGCCACUGUACAUUUAUCAAAGACAAGAGGGGGUCACGGAAUGCAUGCUCAUCCAUAAACAAGCUGUUUCCAGACUGCGACGAACGUUGUGAACGGUAAUGCUCUUCGCUGUGGGAGAAUCACGUGGCUCCAUUCACUGUAACAUGGUUUUAAUCCUCCUUCAAUUCAGUCUGUAGUGUUGGAGAGAACAGAGCCCGUUGGAACUGGGAGGGAGUUAUAUUGUUUUCUGUAUAGUUAAAGAUCUCCUACAAAAACAUCUGGUGGGAGAGAAGAAAUCAAAUGUGAAUGUGCUCUGCAUUUCAAUCCA